rnacentral:SRP_RNA from 1 species
GCCAUCCUUUAGGUAUUAAGGAAGGGUAGUCCCAGCUACUAGGGAGGCUGAGACAGGAGGAUCGCUUGAGUCCAAGAGUUAUGGGCUGCACUGAGCUAUGCCGAUUGGGUGUUCACACUAAGUUCGGCAUCAGUACGAUGGCCUCCCGGGAGCCGGGGACCAGCAGGUUGCCUAAGGAGGGGUGAACCAGCCCAGGUUGGAAACGGAGCAGGUCAAAACUCCCGUGAGGAUCCGUGGUGGAAUGAGGCCUGUGAAUAGCCGCUGCACUCCAGCCUGGACAACACAGCAUAGCGU